UACGUAGGGCGCAAGCGUUAUCCGGAAUUAUUGGGCGUAAAGAGCUCGUAGGCGGUUUGUCGCGUCUGCCGUGAAAGUCCGGGGCUCAACUCCGGAUCUGCGGUGGGGUACGGGCAGACUAGAGUGAUGUAGGGGAGACUGGAAUUCCUGGUGUAGCGGUGAAAUGCGCAGAUAUCAGGAGGAACACCGAUGGCGAAGGCAGGUCUCUGGGCAUUAACUGACGCUGAGGAGCGAAAGCAUGGGGAGCGAACAGG
rnacentral:rRNA from 1 species